UACGGGGGGGGCAAGCGUUGUUCGGAAUUACUGGGCGUAAAGGGCUCGUAGGUGGCCAACUAAGUCAGACGUGAAAUCCCCAGGCUCAACUUGGGAACUGCGUCUGAUACUGGAUGGCUUGAAUUCGGGAGAGGGAUGCAGAAUUCCAGGUGUAGCGGUGAAAUGCGUAGAUAUCUGGAGGAAUACCGGUGGCGAAGGCGGCAUCCUGGACCGAGAUUGACGCUGAGGCGCGAAAGCCAGGGGAGCAAACGGG
rnacentral:rRNA from 1 species